AAUUUUUACAAUGAAGAGUUUGAUCCUGGCUCAGGAUGAACGCUAGCGGCAGGCUUAACACAUGCAAGUCGAGGG
rnacentral:rRNA from 2 species